GAUGAACGCUGGCGGCGUGCUUAACACAUGCAAGUCGAACGAAGCACUUUAUUUGAUUUCCUUCGGGACUGAUUAUUUUGUGACUGAGUGGCGGACGGGUGAGUAACGCGUGGGUAACCUGCCUUGUACAGGGGGAUAACAGUUGGAAACGGCUGCUAAUACCGCAUAAGCGCACGGCAUCGCAUGGUGCAGUGUGAAAAACUCCGGUGGUAUAAGAUGGACCCGCGUUGGAUUAGCUAGUUGGUGAGGUAACGGCCCACCAAGGCGACGAUCCAUAGCCGACCUGAGAGGGUGACCGGCCACAUUGGGACUGAGACACGGCCCAAACUCCUACGGGAGGCAGCAGUGGGGAAUAUUGCACAAUGGGCGAAAGCCUGAUGCAGCGACGCCGCGUGAGCGAAGAAGUAUUUCGGUAUGUAAAGCUCUAUCAGCAGGGAAGAUAAUGACGGUACCUGACUAAGAAGCACCGGCUAAAUACGUG
rnacentral:rRNA from 1 species